rnacentral:rRNA from 1 species
UAGGAAUCUUCCACAAUGGACGCAAGUCUGAUGGAGCAACGCCGCGUGAGUGAAGAAGGCUUUCGGGUCGUAAAACUCUGUUAUUGAAGAAGAACGUGCGUGACAGUAACUGGUCAUGCAGUGACGGUAUUCAAUCAGAAAGUCACGGCUAACUACGUGCCAGCAGCCGCGGUAAUACGUAGGUGGCAAGCGUUGUCCGGAUUUAUUGGGCGUAAAGCGAGUGCAGGCGGUCUUUUAAGUCUGAUGUGAAAGCCUUCGGCUUAACCGAAGAAGGGCAUCGGAAACUGGGAGACUUGAGUGCAGAAGAGGAGAGUGGAACUCCAUGUGUAGCGGUGAAAUGCGUAGAUAUAUGGAAGAACACCAGUGGCGAAGGCGGCUCUCUGGUCUGUAACUGACGCUGAGGCUCGAAAGCGUGGGUAGCAAACAGGA